CAUCUUAAAUUUUCUCUUAGCAAAAGUGCUAAAUAGGCCUAUGUACUAACAUUGAUUGUUCAUCUAGCACCAUGAAUUCAAAUAUGGUCCAUCUAGACUAUUAUAUUCCCAAUUAUUUUUCAUCUAGCAUUUUUAGCAAGUUUCUAACAAGUAACCCAUCUAAUUUGCUUA